GAUGCCCACAUUGCAGACCUGGGGCAGGCCUGCCUGAUGGCGCAGCCCGGAAAAGCCCUCCUGCGGGGACAACGGAAGCCAGCUGAGGCCUGCUGAUAAGCUGCUGCACUGCUCAGGGAGCUGUGCCAGUGCUCACCAGGAGGGCUGUGGCCGCCCCUGCCCACCCUGGGGACAAGAGGGAAGGGACCGAGGCCGCUCCUGCCCAAGCCCAAGGGCCUGGCAGCCUCGCCUGAGGACAAGAGGAGCCCUCGGAAGUGCUCCUGUGACUGCUUGGGGGGCCGGCACAAAGGGAGGUCAUUUUCCCCAGGCUCUGUCCAGGAGCCCCUGCGACAGGGCCUGCUGCAUGGGGGACCCCGGAAGCCCUGCCCCGGAGGGAGCAGCCCCGUUGGCCCAUGGCAGGCCCCUGCUCCCCAGCACGACGCACGCAGCACAUGCAAGAUGAGAGGAACGCCUUUCCAGGCCCUACAAGAAGGGCGGGAGCCUGGGAAGAAGGCAUGGCUGGCUGCAGGCAGAUGGCCAGGGCCCUGCCCUCCGGGAGGAUGCUGCCAGCAAGCACCCUGGAACUCUGCACCCCCACUGGAUUCCCUCUGAGCUGUUCCCCGCCAGGAGUACCCCACAGCCCUCACUUCGACCGAAAGGGCAGGAUGGGCCCUAUUACCUUCUUCAAGGCGGGCUGGUCCAGGUCGUAGAACGGCAUUUCAUCCUGGCUGCAACCAGCAAGCAAGACAGCAAGUCAACAGGGUGAAGCAGCCCCUGCAGCGUUAGAGCGACCAUCAUUGUCCCCGUCACACAUUUAUCAAGCUACGCCUGCUGUCAGCUCUUUCAUGCACCAGAGGAUGAGCCUGUGGCUUAGCCCGGCACGCAUCACAGAAGCUUCUCCUGAUGUCCAGCCAGAUUCCGGCUUCCUGGAACUGGAGCCCCCUCUUCUGUGCCCUGCACUCUGGGAGGAUCAAGAAGGGAUCCUGGCAGCCUUUCAAGUACUCAGGAAGUGCCCUCCUGUCUCCUCCAGGCCAAACAGGCUCAGUUCUCUCCACCGCUCCUCGCAGGGCACUGCCUCCCAUUCCUGGAUCAUCCUUGUUGCCCUUCUCUGAACAUCCUCCUGCCUCUUUCUUAAACUGUGGCAUCCAGAACUAGACCCAGGACACACGACGGGGCCAAACUGGGGCUGAGUGGAAGGGUGCGCUCCGAUUACCUGCAGAGAUCCAUCAUCACAUCCCCGCACUCAGGAACUCUGGCCAUGGGUGGUCCUCGGGUGGAAGAAGCAGAAAGCACAAGUGAGAGGGAUCCUGCAGAGAAGGAGAGAGCUGGUAACCAAAUAAGGUCCCGGUUAAAACAGGGCCGACCCAGUUCCAUGCGGCAUGCUCCACUCAGCACUGCCGCUCCCAGAGAACAGGCGAUGCAGCUGUCGCGGCCCUGCAAAGCCCACAGCACGGCAAUCAACACACGUGCGCGUUGUGACAGACCCUCAGAAGACUUGCACUGAAAAGCUGCUGUGCAGCGUUCCUUGCGAUUACAAAGAAACGGCAGAAAGCCAGCCAGCCAGCCAGCCACCCCCUCAGCCAGGCCCCCAAGAGCAUUUGGAGGCAGCUCAAACGGGAGCCACAGAGUAAGUGCCCAGCCAGGCGCCUGUCGUCUUAAUUCCUACAGAACUCCUGAUCUAAGUCCCAUAAAUGAGUCACCUCUUCACUCUGCCAGCAAUGCCUGCUCUUUCCCACCUCCCACCUGCCAAGCCGUGGCCGACUGUACCUGAAUGCUGCUCUUCAGAGGGUUUCUCCGCUCCGAGAUUCUCCUGCAAGUUGGCCUCGGCUGCAGAGCGUGCGGCACUUUUAUGUGGCUGCCCAGGAACUUCCUCAAACUUCCUCUGCGUGUUUCAAAGGUAGGUUGGGCAAGUGGCACUGCUGCAAUUUGGGAAACCAGCCGCAGAGAGAGAGAGAGGAAAUGGAAUGGGGCUGCCCCCCCACCCUUCCCACACUGCACAGGGACAAGCGGCCGGGGGUCAGGAGUCCUGACCCAGGGCCCUCCCAUAAAGGUGGCUGCAGGAAGGUACUAGCCCAGAUGGCGGCACUUCCUGUUCCAAUAACCGAUAAUAACCAAUCAUUUUAAUAGCUGAUUUUAAUCAUUGUUUUUAGAUACUUAAAUUUCAAGGUAUUUUUGUAUUUGGUUGUCCAUCUCACCUGGACGUGUUUCUUGAAACUGAUCUGGCCUAUGUUAAUAUGCUAGCAUUAUCAAUCGGCUAUUGUUAAUGAAAGUGUGAUUGCUUGGUUGCAUGUUAUUGCUGUAGGCCACCUAGAGAGUUCAUUCGAUCUGUUUGACGGCCUAUAAAUGUAAAAGCAAGCAAGUGAAUAACAUAAACUGUGAUCACCACAAGUUAAGACAGUAACAAAGGUUGCCGCCUACUAAGGGCUUGCUUCGCACCAACCACCCCCUUGUCCGAGAUCUGCCUCCCCACACAGCUCCCGCCUGCUCCUCCACCGCUGGCUGCAUUCUGCUCCCUUGCUACGGGUUCCCAUCAUUUUUUGCAGAAUUUAGUCUCGGAGCCAAAGGAGCACAUGCUACUUUGUUAAUCCUCCAGUGUAUUUAAAUACUAUGCUGUUGGGAUCUGCUUUAUUUGGGGAACACUUGCUCUACCCGCAGCCCCCAAAGAGAGCAAGCACCUGGCGAACUUCGUUUUCCAACUGAGCUGGGUGAGAAGGGCAGCCCUGCGACACCAUGCAAGGGUUUCAUGCCGCUCCUGCUGGAAUGAUGUGCAGCGUUUCUGACGUCACCCAGCACACUCACCUUGGAGCAUGGCCACAUUUCUCAUCAGGGCCGGAACUCCCCGCCAGAUUUGCCCAUGUGAGUGGCAAAGAGGCACAGGAUUAAUCUCAUUCUGGGCAGGAAGUGGGUGAUGUCAGUGCUGGAAAUUCUCUUGCACCCACAGCAAGGUGACAGUUGUUUGAGGAAAUUGCACACACACGACUCCCGCAUCUACAUUGGUGACGCCCAACUUCCCCCUUCUUUCGGGGAGUUUUGACCCUCUGCAGGAAGCAGCUCUUCGAAAUCAGAGCAUCACGUUGUCAGCUGAACUAUGCGGCAGAGACAGUUCUCACCCCCGUGAAUCACCGCUGGAGCAUCUUCCAUAUCAGAGCACAAGCCCCCAGUGGAUUUCUACAACUGAGUGACUAUUCAACCCGCAGCAAGUGUGUCGUUUUCAAAAGGGAUGGCUCCAGAGAGGGGUUGCAUGGCCCUCUCACUUUUUAGAAUUAUUUUUGUGAUUCACUGGGGUGGGUUGGGGUCAAUAUUUAUUUAUUUGGAACAUUUAUAUGCCCCCCCAUUCGCAAAAAGCCUUGGGCUUUUGUGCCCAAUGAGAAAUAAAGCAUUCUGUUUGGAAUGAUUUCCAUAUAGAAAUACAAUACA